UCUCUGUGGUGGCAUCUUGCUCGCCGUCAUUGUCUUCCAUCAGAAUCCUGCGAGGUUUAUACUGCUUCUUCACCUGUAUGGCACCAUCACCGAUUUGUUUACACAGAAUAUUGGAAAUGGUGAGCGGUGUUUUAUCUGUACGUAUGCAGGAGAUGUAUUUUCGGGACACAUCGAGGUACUUUUUUUUGGGUAUGUAGUUCUCUGAAUGGGUGAACAUCACCUAUUCACAAUGAUAUCCCUCCUUUAGCACAUGUGCACCAUUGAUUAUCAUAGUGAUUUAUUUGACAUUCGCCAUAUUUCUCGCACAUAUCCACUAUGAGUUAUGGUGUAGCUGUUCUUUUUUCUGUAAAGGAUAAGUUUGGGUGUAGUUGAUGAGUGUGGAAGUAUA